rnacentral:lncRNA from 1 species
UGGUAAGGGGGUGGUGGAGAUUUGUAAACUGGUGGAGGAGGCGGUGGUGACUUAUACUUGUAAACGGGUGGUGGUGGGGAUUUGUAGACUGGAGGAGGUGGUGGAGGAGACUUGUACUUGUAAACAGGUGGUUGUGGAGAUUUGUAGACCGGAGGAGGUGGUGGUGGUGAUUUGUAUUUGUAAACGGGUGGUGGUGGAGAUUUGUAGACUGGAGGAGGUGGUGGUGGUGACUUGUAUUUGUAAACCGGAGGAGGUGGUGGAGGAGACUUAUACUUGUAAACGGGUGGUGGUGGAGACUUGUACUUAUAAACGGGUGGUGGUGGGGAUUUAUAAACGGGUGGAGGUGGUGGUGGAGACUUGUACUUAUAAACGGGUGGUGGUGGGGAUUUAUAGACCGGUGGAGGUGGUGGUGGAGACUUGUAUUUGUAAACGGGUGGUGGUGGGGACUUGUACUUGUAAACAGGUGGUGGUGGGGAUUUAUAGACCGGUGGAGGUGGUGGUGGAGACUUGUAUUUGUAAACGGGUGGUGGUGGGGACUUGUACUUGUAAACAGGUGGUGGUGGUGAUUUAUAAACUGGAGGAGGAGGUGGUGGUGACUUGUACUUGUAAACUGGAGGAGGAGGUGGAGGAGACUUGUAUUUGUAAACAGGUGGUGGUGGAGAUUUAUAAACCGGAGGAGGUGGUGGCGGGGAUUUGUACUUAUAAACUGGAGGUGGUGGUGAUGAGUACACGUACUUCUUGGUUGGUGGAGGAGGAGAACUAUAGUAGUAAUUUGCUUUGCAUUCUAAAGGAAAGCUAAGGGACAGUAAAG